UGACUUUUCUGAGAGAGCAUGGCCCCAAAGACAAAGCCUUGAUUUGGUAGAAGAGCUAGCUGAGCUCCUGUCUGGGAGACAAGCUCUGGUGUUGUCUGGCAUCCCCACCUCAAGCCUCUUCAGACCCAAGCAAAGAAAUUCUCCACUCAAAUCCUACAAUCUGCUCAAACUGAGGCUGCAAACAGCGUUCCGGAAUGGAUUCCAUCAGAAGCCAAGGAAGCUUCCCUUAGAGCUUAAUGCACAUCAGCCAUGACCCGAACACCAAAUUUCCAAGAAACAUCAAGAAACGGCUAGUCUUUUAAGUGCUGAUUCCACCUGAGCAGAAACUCUACACGUUCCUGAAAGCCAGCAACAUUCUGUCAUCUACCAGUAUUUGAAAGAAUGCUGUAUACAGCUGGGCUUUCUAAAAAAUGGACACUGAUUGCUGAAAAUGACACCCUAACACGUCCCUCUGAGUCUCUUGAGACUGAAGACCCUCCAAGGACCACAGAGGAAACAGCCUCAAGAUUCCCUCUUGCCCUCUCCUUGCCAGCUCCCACUACCAGCAUUAUUUAGGGCCAACUUUGGCCAGCUUUCUAUGGACACAUACAUUCAUCACACCAUACAUACACUCCUUCAGGUUUCAACUAUUGGAGAAAAUAGCUCAUAGAAAGAACUCCAACCUUAAAAGGGAUGGCAUCAAGCAUCAAGUUUCUGUAGCACCUCCAGCUCCUUGGCAUGAUGCCUGGCACACGGAGGCACUCCUGUUCUUUCAAGUUACUUCCAUUACAACAAUCCUGUUUUCC